rnacentral:rRNA from 1 species
UAAGGAAUAUUGCUCAAUGGGAGAAAUCCUGAAGCAGCAACGCCGCGUGAAGGAUGAAGGCCUUUAGGUCGUAAACUUCUGUAAAGAGAGAAAAAUGCCCCGCUCUGCGGGGAGUGAUUGUAUCUCUGAAGUAAGCCCCGGCUAACUACGUGCCAGCAGCCGCGGUAAUACGUAGGGGGCAAGCGUUGUCCGGAUUUACUGGGUGUAAAGGGUGCUCAGGUGGCUUGGAAAGUCAGUGGUGAAAUCUGAGAGCUUAACUCUCAAACUGCCAUUGAUACUUCUUAGCUUGAGUACGGAAGAGGCUGAUGGAAUUUCAGGUGUAGCAGUGAAAUGCGUAGAUAUCUGAAAGAACACCAGUGGCGAAGGCGGUCAGCUGGUCCGUUACUGACACUAAAGCACGAAAGCGUGGGUAGCAAACAGG